rnacentral:rRNA from 1 species
UACGGAGGGAGCUAGCGUUGUUCGGAAUUACUGGGCGUAAAGCGCACGUAGGCGGCUUUGUAAGUUAGAGGUGAAAGCCUGGAGCUCAACUCCAGAACUGCCUUUAAGACUGCAUCGCUUGAAUCCAGGAGAGGUGAGUGGAAUUCCGAGUGUAGAGGUGAAAUUCGUAGAUAUUCGGAAGAAACACCAGUGGCGAAGGCGGCUCACUGGACUGGUAUUGACGCUGAGGUGCGAAAGCGUGGGGAGCAAACAGGG